rnacentral:rRNA from 1 species
AACGAACGCUGGCGGCAUGCCUAACACAUGCAAGUCGAACGAACCCUUCGGGGUUAGUGGCGCACGGGUGCGUAACGCGUGGGAAUCUGCCCUUUGCUUCGGAAUAACAGUUAGAAAUGACUGCUAAUACCGGAUGAUGUCUUCGGACCAAAGAUUUAUCGGCAAGGGAUGAGCCCGCGUAGGAUUAGGUAGUUGGUGGGGUAAAGGCCUACCAAGCCGACGAUCCUUAGCUGGUCUGAGGGGAUGAUCAGCCACACUGGGACUGAGACACGGCCCAGACUCCUACGGGAGGCAGCAGUGGGGAAUAUUGGACAAUGGGCGCAAGCCUGAUCCAGCAAUGCCGCGUGAGUGAUGAAGGCCUUCGGGUCGUAAAGCUCUUUUACCAGGGAUGAUAAUGACAGUACCUGGAGAAUAAGCUCCGGCUAACUCCGUGCCAGCCGCCGCCGUAA